GUCCUGACUGGAAGUAGGACAUACUCUCGCACAAGGCGAGGGCUGGGGACUGGUCAUCCUCGGCAAAUAUUAACCGGGUGUGUGACCUCACCCUUCUCCU
rnacentral:ncRNA from 1 species